rnacentral:rRNA from 1 species
UACAGAGGGUGCGAGCGUUAAUCGGAUUUACUGGGCGUAAAGCGUACGUAGGCGGCUUUUUAAGUCGGAUGUGAAAUCCCUGAGCUUAACUUAGGAAUUGCAUUCGAUACUGGGAAGCUAGAGUAUGGGAGAGGAUGGUGGAAUUCCUAGUGUAGCGGUGAAAUGCGUAGAGAUUAGGAAGGAACACCAGUGGCGAAGGCGACUACCUGGACUGAUACUGACACUGAGGUGCGAAAGCGUGGGGAGCAAACAGG